AAACUAAGGCGAAUAGGCUUCCAGCAUACAAUGUAGGCUGGCCUCUGACGCUGGGCCUAGCAAUGUAGGGAAAGCUGCUUCUAUUGGGUUUGGGGAGAAUUGUUUGUUUGUUUGUUUAAUUUUGUGAAUGAAUCCAUAGUUAAGUGUGCCUGUGGUCAGCUUUCUGAUGGUUUUCUGGUCACUUUGGAGAAGAUGUACGCCUUCUCUGUCUUCCUUUGACUUGUUUCUUGUGUUGUCUGACUUGGCGCUGAUUUAAUUUCAAGACCUACUUGGUGGUUCUGUGCCUUCCCCUACUCCCUUCUCAUCUUCGUGUAUGACGAGGUGCGGAAGCUCAUCAUCAGGCGACGCCCUGGCGGCUGGGUGGAGAAGGAAACCUACUACUAGCCCACUGCCCUGCACGCCGUGGAACAUUGUGCCACACACUGCACCUACCCCUACCCCCCCUUUGUGUACUUCAAGUCUUGGAGCUCGGAACUCUACCCUGGUAGGAAAGCACCAAAGCAUGUGGGGAUCCAGACGUCCUGGAAUGAAGCAUGUAGCUGUAAUGGGGGGCGGGGGGAGGGCUGCCCGAAAAACACCGUGGACGGGGACGACAGCGGGGAAGGUUUAUAUGUGCCUUUUUGUUUUUGUAAAAAAGGAAAACCUGGAAAGACUGAAAGAUUACGUUUUAUAUCUGGAUUUUUACAAAUAAAGAUGGCUAUUAUAACGG
rnacentral:lncRNA from 1 species